AUGCAGACAAUUAGUUGCAUUGUUGUGGUCAAUGCAGUUGUUGGUAAAACAUGUCUCCUGAUAUCCUACACAACAAAUUUCCAUCCUAAUAGAUACAGACUGUUUUUGACAACUAUGCACUCACAGUUAGGACUGGUGCAGAGCCAUAUACUCUUAGACUUUUAAUUCUGCAGGGCAAGAAGAUUAUGACAGACUAUAACUCCUGAGUUAUCUACACAGAUAUAUUUCUAGUCUGUUUCUCAGUGGUCUCUCCAUGUUCAUUUUAAAGUAUGAAAGAAAAGUGAGGGCCUGAGAUAACUCACCACUGUCCAAAGGCUCCUUUCUUGCUUGUCACAACCCAAAUUGAUCUCAGAGGGUCUAUUAUUGAGAAAAUUACCAAGAACAAAUAGAAGCCUAUCACUCCAGAGACUGCUGAAAAGCCGGCCCACAACCUGAAGGCUGUCAAGUAUAUGGACGGUCCUGUACCCACACAGCAAGAUCUAAAGAAUGGAUUUGACAAAGCAAUAUUGGCUGUCCUGGAGCCUCCAGAACUGAAGAAGAGCUGGAAGCCUAUGCUGCUAUGA
rnacentral:lncRNA from 1 species